UGGAUGAAAUAUAAACUGUCUCUUAAUUAUAUUUAGAAUUUAAUUUUUUAAUUAAAAAGUUAAAAUGAAUUAAAAAGACGAGAAGACCCUAUAGAGUUUUAUAAUUAAAUUAAUUGAGAUUUUUUGUAAGAUUAAAAUUAAAAUUAAUUUAUUUAUUUUGUUGGGGUGACAGAAAAAUAUGGAGAACUUUUUUUAUAAUAUUACAUAAAUAAGUGGUUAAAUGAUCCAAUAUUAUUGAUUAUAAGAAAAAAUUACCUUAGGGAUAACAGCGUAAUUUUUUUUUUUAGUUCAUAUAAAAAAAAAAGUUUGCGACCUCGAUGUUGGAUUAAGAUAAAAUUUAAAUGCAGAAG
rnacentral:rRNA from 1 species